rnacentral:rRNA from 1 species
AUGGCGGCCGCGCCCGCUGAAGUUCUUCCGCCGGCCAAGAGGUGGAAGAAGGACCCCGAGUGCCUGGAAACCUCACCGGUCCUUCCGGCCACGGCGACUGCAGACUGGUCCUCGCUCCCGUACGACAUCGUCGGUCGCAUCGCCGACUCCUUCCUCGCCACCAACGACCUCGAUUGGUACAUGGAUCUGCGCGCUGUCUGCCACAACUGGCGCUCCGCCACCGACGACCCCAGGGACAGCAGCAUGGAUUCCCGGUUCCACCCGUGCUGCUGGAUCAUCCUCGACGAGGUCUUCGAGAGCCACACACGCCGCCUCUUGCUCAACACCGCCACCGGCCGGUUCCUCCACAAGGAUCUCCCGGCGCUCCGCGACUACUACGUCGUCGCCACCAUGUCAGGACCUGAGUUGCAGUAA